GUAAGCAAAAUUAACCGCCAAGAUUCCAGCGAUCAUGAAGUAAAACAAAUCCAAUCUUCCUUUGUUCAAAUCUUCAGCCAACCAGUUACCGCCAGCCGAGUUCUGCGUCGUCCUGUGUACCGUUGCAAUCAAGAAGCUGCCGAGGUAACUAGAAACUCCUCCUCCCACAUAGAAGAUGGAGCCGGCGAAACUCCUCAUGUUCUCGGGGAACUGCUUGUAGUAAAACUCCAUCUGUCCAAUAGCUCCAAAUGCCUCGGCUACACCCGCGAGUGUGAGCUGCGGUAUCAGCCACAUAGCUGACAUUGAGGAGAUUUCUCCCUUCCGUGGCGCCAUACCGAGUGUUGGUUUAGUCAAUGCGAAAGUCCUCCUCCGUUCCUCGACGAAACCAGACACUACCAAGCUCAAAAAGGCGAAGAAAAUCCCGGUUCCUAUCCUUUGCAAGAGCGUGAUCCCGGUGUCUAUACCGGUGAUUCUUCUCAAGGUAGGCACGAGGACGCGGUCGUAGAUUAUGAUGAAAACAGUCAUUCCUGUCAUCAAGAAGACCACAUAGGUGGCUGCAGGGAUCACAAACCCUCCAGAGCCUAAGCGACGAUCGCUCUGGAGGGCUUGAAAGACAGGAUAGGUCAUCUGUUGCGUGAUGGUCAAGUAAUAGAUCGAUGAAGCAAACCAUAUAGGAAGCACUCUCACAAUGCACUUCACUUCUUCAACUUGUUGCAUUGUACAUAGCUUCCAUGGAUCCGUAGGCUUACCAUCAGCAUCCAACUUGUCUUCAGGAGCCAAGAUCGCCGCCUUAUCAAGAAACCUACCAAAAACAGAAAGCUUGCUUUCUAAGUAAACAAAAGUGGAAAGAUAUUAUUUAUAACCGUGUGUCUUUACCUGAACUGGUCGGUGUACUUGAGCUUAGAGUUUGCGUAGUUUAGUGGGUAGUAAUUGUAAAGGUUAACCCAAGGCUGCUUCACAGCCUUUAACCCACGUUUCUUGAUAGCAACCGUUAUAACUUGAGCUAUACUAGCCAAUGGACUACCUGAGGCUUUGAUCUUGACAUACAACUUAUCACCCGCAAAGAAGAUCAGGUCUAAAAGCUUCCAGAAGAUGAGAAACCACAUGAUCAUUAGACUUUGUUCUUGUCUUGUUGUUUGAUCACAUCUCCAUUUGUUUCAUAAGCUGUCACUUCAUCAUCACUUCCUUUGUACCUAUACCAUCUUGACAUCACCAAGAAGUAAGCAAAAUUAACCGCCAAGAUUCCAGCGAUCAUGAAGUAAAACAAAUCCAAUCUUCCUUUGUUCAAAUCUUCAGCCAACCAGUUACCGCCAGCCGAGUUCUGCGUCGUCCUGUGUACCGUUGCAAUCAAGAAGCUGCCGAGGUAACUAGAAACUCCUCCUCCCACAUAGAAGAUGGAGCCGGCGAAACUCCUCAUGUUCUCGGGGAACUGCUUGUAGUAAAACUCCAUCUGUCCAAUAGCUCCAAAUGCCUCGGCUACACCCGCGAGUGUGAGCUGCGGUAUCAGCCACAU
rnacentral:lncRNA from 1 species